rnacentral:rRNA from 1 species
GAUGAACGCUGGCGGCGUGCCUAAUACAUGCAAGUCGAGCGAACAGACGAGGAGCUUGCUCCUCUGACGUUAGCGGCGGACGGGUGAGUAACACGUGGAUAACCUACCUAUAAGACUGGGAUAACUUCGGGAAACCGGAGCCAAUACCGGAUAAUAUAUUGAACCGCAUGGUUCAAUAGUGAAAGACGGUUUUGCUGUCACUUAUAGAUGGAUCCGCGCCGCAUUAGCUAGUUGGUAAGGUAACGGCUUACCAAGGCAACGAUGCGUAGCCGACCUGAGAGGGUGAUCGGCCACACUGGAACUGAGACACGGUCCAGACUCCUACGGGAGGCAGCAGUAGGGAAUCUUCCACAAUGGGCGAAAGCUUGACGGAGCCACGCCGCGUGAGUGAUGAAGGUCUUCGGAUCGUAAAACUCUGUUAUUAGGGAAGAACAAAUGUAUAAGUAACUAUGCACGUCUUGACGGUACCUAAUCAGAAAGCCACGGCUAACUACGUG